rnacentral:rRNA from 1 species
GACGAACGCUGGCGGCGUGCUUAACACAUGCAAGUCGAACGGAAAGGCCCUGCUUUUGUGGGGUGCUCGAGUGGCGAACGGGUGAGUAACACGUGAGUAACCUGCCCUUGACUUUGGAAUAACUUCAGGAAACUGGGGCUAAUACCGGAUAGGAUCUCCUGCUGCAUGGUGGGGGUUGGAAAGUUUCGACGGUUGGGGAUGGACUCGCGGCUUAUCAGCUUGUUGGUGGGGUAGUUGCUUACCAAGGCUUUGACGGGUAGCCGGCCUGAGAGGGUGACCGGCCACAUUGGGACUGAGAUACGGCCCAGACUCCUACGGGAGGCAGCAGUGGGGAAUAUUGCACAAUGGGCGGAAGCCUGAUGCAGCAACGCCGCGUGCGGGAUGACGGCCUUCGGGUUGUAAACCGCUUUCGCCUGUGACGAGGCGUGAGUGACGGUAAUGGGUAAAGAAGCACCGGCUAACUACGUG